GGAGAGGGAUCCUGAGGCUUCCUGUGAAUAGGCAGAGACCAAUAGAGUGAUGGGAAAAAAUAUGUGCUUCUGUAAAGUAGGUUUCUUGGCAUUCAUAGCCAUGGUUGUCAAUUGUACUGCAGAAAUGGAUGGAAAGUUACAGAAAAUGAAAGGUUGUGGUAGCAGCGGCAGAGAAAUACUUGAGUGCAAGGUUUUACUUCAGAACAGUUGCAGUGGGUGUUGAAUGGUAAUGUUCUGUCCUCCCAGACAGUUGGUCUGAAAUAGGAUUAGAUAGGGUAAAUGGUGGUGGUAUUAUUUUUUUAAUAAAAAUAUAUAUAUUUGAGAGGGCUAUUAGUUGGCAGAGUAAUUUUUCAUUUUCCUCGAUUUUAUAGUACCGUAUCACAAAGAAUUCAAUGUGGGUAGGCUGUGAAUGGCCUCACAUUCCAGUACAGUAGGUGGCAGUGUAUGCACCUUAAAUUGGAUACGAUCGCUCCAACACAUUCCCAAAGAAGAAGAAUGGGCGGCAUGGUGCAUUCUGGGCGAUUCUUGGACUAUGUGUGUUUGAGUGGUAAGCCUAAAGGAAGCCGACUGUAGGCGAAAGUUGUUGACAGACGUCUUUGGCUUCGCUCCAGACAGGCUCAGCUAGUAGAACUUACAUCACCAUGACAACCGACGUGGAGAUGCUUGCUCAGCAGAUAGUGGUCCAUGAGCAGGUGGCAGAGCGAGGCCCUGCAAGCGGAGGCUCUAGCCAGGAUGGAGGCUGCUAACCCAGCCAAGUUUGGGCCUGAGAAGUACUGUCUGAAAGGAGGUCCCCUGCGACCAGCACCACCCAAAGAGAUGACAGGGAAAGACCACGCUCAGGUGCUAGCUGCACAGGACUAAGGUUGGAAGGAAUCAUGGACUGAACUGUUAUUUAGUAGUAUAUCAUGUUUCACUGGAAAUAUUGUGGAUGUUUCUGUACAUUAAAAACCAGA